CCCUUAGAUGUUCUGGGCCGCACGCGUGCUACACUGAAGGAAUCAGCGUGGCUUUCUCCCUGACCCGAAAGGGUUGGGAAACCCGUUGAAUCUCCUUCGUGAUAGGGAUUGGGGCUUGAAAUUGUUCCCCAUGAACGAGGAAUUCCUAGUAAGCACAAGUCAUCAGCUUGUGUUGAUUACGUCCCUGCCCUUUGUACACACCGCCCGUCGCUCCUACCGAUUGAAUGUUCCGGUGAGCUCUUCGGACUGCGCGGUCUGCAGUUUCUGCGUUCCGUGCGGAAAGUUGCGCAAACCUUAACAUUUAGAGGAAGGAGAAGUCGUAACA
rnacentral:rRNA from 1 species